rnacentral:rRNA from 1 species
AUUGAACGCUGGCGGCAGGCCUAACACAUGCAAGUCGAACGAGUGGCGGACGGGUGAGUAAUGUCUGGGAAACUGCCCGAUGGAGGGGGAUAACUACUGGAAACGGUAGCUAAUACCGCAUACCAUCGGAUGUGCCCAGAUGGGAUUAGCUAGUCGGUGGGGUAAUGGCUCACCUAGGCGACGAUCCCUAGCUGGUCUGAGAGGAUGACCAGCCACACUGGAACUGAGACACGGGCCAUACUCCGACGGGAGGCAGCAGUGUGGAAUAUUGAACAAGGGGCGCAAGCCUGAUGCAGCCAUGCCGCGUGUAUGAAGAAGGCCUUCGGGUUGUAAAGUACUUGCAGCGAGGAGGCGUGACUCGCAGAAGAAGCACCGGCUAACUCCGUGCCAGCAGCCGCGGUAAUAC